UACGUAGGUGGCAAGCGUUGUCCGGAUUUAUUGGGUUUAAAGGGUGCGUAGGCGGUUCCAUAAGUCAGUGGUGAAAUACGGCAGCUUAACUGUCGAGGUGCCAUUGAUACUGCGGAACUUGAGUACUGAUGAGGUAGGCGGAAUUGACGGUGUAGCGGUGAAAUGCUUAGAUAUCGUCAAGAACACCGAUAGCGAAGGCAGCUUACCAAGCAGUAACUGACGCUGAGGCACGAAAGCGUGGGGAGCAAACAGG
rnacentral:rRNA from 1 species